rnacentral:rRNA from 1 species
UACGAGGGGGCGAGCGUUGUUCGGAAUUAUUGGGCGUAAAGGGCGCGUAGGCGGUUGGAUAAGUCUUGUGUGAAAUUCGGUCGGCACAUCGAGCGAGCACGAGAAACUAUCUGGCUUGAGUGUGGGGAGAGGUGAGUGGAAUUCCUGGUGUAGCGGUGAAAUGCGUAGAGAUGUGGAGGAAUACCGAUGGCGAAGCAGCCCCCUGGGCCAAUACGUGACGCUCAUGCACGAAAGCGUGGGGAGCAAACAGG